rnacentral:rRNA from 1 species
UACAGAGGGUGCAAGCGUUACUCGGAAUUACUGGGCGUAAAGCGCGCGUAGGUGGUUUGUUAAGUUGAAUGUGAAAUCCCCGGGCUCAACCUGGGAACUGCAUGCAAAACUGGCAAGCUAGAGUAUGGUAGAGGGUGGUGGAAUUUCCUGUGUAGCGGUGAAAUGCGUAGAUAUAGGAAGGAACACCAGUGGCGAAGGCGACCACCUGGACUGAUACUGACACUGAGGUGCGAAAGCGUGGGGAGCAAACAGG